rnacentral:lncRNA from 1 species
UUGGCCAAUUGCACAACUUCAGUCUUUACAGGUUCUACUGCAAUCAAGAUAUCCUGUUCUAUAGCCAUAGGGAGCACGGCGUAACCACAGUAGUCUAUGUGUUCUCCUAUUAAGUUGACUCGCCCUGGUGCACGAACAUAAAACUUGGGAGCUGAUCCAAAUUUUGCUAUAAAACUCUCCUUCAGCUUCAGCAAUCUGGGCUGCUCCACCAGCUGCACCGGGACGGUGCUGGGGGCGUCUGCUGCCAUGGCGACCCCUCCCCGAAGCCCCGGGCGGAGGCGGGCGGUCGCUGCGGCGGUCACGAGACAGACAGACACCGUCCUUCCGGGUGGCGGAGCUGGCGGCCCGGCCUCCUCCGCUCUCGGCGCGCGGCACCCGGGCCGGGCCCCGCGAAGCCACAGUGCGCGGCCGCUCGCCCGGCGGCACGGUGCUGAGGCGGCUGCGCGCGUGAACGGAGCGCGUGGCGCUCGUUCUGUCAGAGCUCGGCUGGCAGCGGAGAAACAUUACGAACUGGACCCAGCGCGGCGCGAGCCAAGCAAACGGGUCUGCGCGCUGGGAUUCCGGCGCGUGUCACGGAGCACGGCCCGAGCGGGCAGCGCUUCUCCCCGGCGUUGUUUUUCUGCCUCGGUUGUGAGGCGCGGUUCUGCCGCUUCUCUCGGCCAGGCCGCCUCAGUCUGUUUCCCCUCAGCAUCACGGGCAGCCGUUACCCCGAGGAGCCGCGCUGUCGGAUGUGCUUGUAAGCACAGCCCCGCUGCUGUCGUGGUGGCUGCCGCUGUUUGUCUUAAAGCCCCUCACAGUCACCUCAGGAAGGUUUAAAUCGCGAUCCCCGUCACAUCCAGAUGGAGUCGCAGGUUAGCACGCCUUGCUGGGGAGGUUUUUUACCUCAGGUUAGCAAGGGUUACAGAAUCGGAAGGGAGGUUUUAAAGGACAAGCGGCCCCGGGAGCAAAAGCAAACGCAAACAUACAAAAAGCCGUAACAACACAGAACGCCCCACAGAUCUCUAGCGACACGAUCCGCAGUGCAAACACCGCCGGGUGUCUGUGACACCACAGACCCAGUGGAGAUAGCAGAACACAAGGAUCGCACGUUCGUUCCCCUCACGCUUGCAGUUAAUGAUGGUAAAAAUCCCUACAAGCCCAGCGGCUCCGCGCCCUCUGAGGCUCUUUUUCCUUUUUCCCCUCAGUUUAGGCCUUUUAAAUCUG